rfam:Sphingopyxis sp. HIX HIX_contig000050, whole genome shotgun sequence.
UGUGCGGGCCGGGCCCCUCUGGCGUCGGCGGAAUUUUAUUCCGCUUGCGUGAUGUCGGACCGCAUCG